rnacentral:rRNA from 1 species
GUCUACGGCCAUACCACCCUGAACAAGCCUGAUCUCGUCUGAUCUCGGAAGCUAAGGAGAGUCCGGCCUGGUUAGUAAUUGGAUGGGAAAAAUAAAGUAAAAUAAAUGAGGAAUUGUAAGCU